UACGUAGGGGGCGAGCGUUGUCCGGAGUUACUGGGCGUAAAGGGCGUGCAGGCGGUGCGGUAAGUUUAGAGUGACAGUCUUCGGCUUAACUGGAGAAGGCCUCUGAAAACUGCCGGACUUGGAGGCCAGAGAGGGACAUAGAAUUCCGGGUGGAGUGGUGAAAUGCGUAGAUAUCCGGAGGAAUACCAAAGGCGAAGGCAGUGUCCUGGCUGGCAUCUGACGCUGAGGCGCGAAAGCUAGGGGAGCGAACAGG
rnacentral:rRNA from 1 species